rnacentral:rRNA from 1 species
UACGAAGGGUGCAAGCGUUAUUCGGAUUUAUUGGGCGUAAAGGGUGCGCAGGCGGUAUGUUAAGUCAACUGUUAAAUUCCUCAGCCUAACUGGGGGCAAGCGGUAGAUACUGGCAUACUAGAGGAUGGAAGAGAGAAGUGGAAUUCUCGGAGUAGCGGUAAAAUGCGUAGAUCUCGAGAGGAACACCGAUGGCGAAGGCAGCUUCUUGGUCCAUUCCUGACGCUCAUGCACGAAAGCGUGGGGAGCAAACAGG